GAGGACCGGGCCAGGUGGAAGUGGUACAAGGGACACAGGACACAAGGGACACAGGACACACAAAGGAGGAUGCAAGCCUUGCCUUUAUGAAGAUGACUGGGAUGGUGGCUGUCCAGGAGACCCAACCGCUCAAGCACAAUCUACAAUUGGUAGGAGUCGCGACUCUCAAAGAAGAGGGCCUAAUCGACCUUCGUGGAGACCUUUCUGGCAUGGCAGAUGUUGGAUGACAGAGAAUUCCAACACGUCGUGCACAGAUGAGAGAGACGAUCGAGAGUCAGGUAGAUUCAGUGGAUUGAACGGUGGCGCUGAGGGAUAUCGAUGGUGCAGCAGUGACCUUCGCUAAGAUCGGAAGGGAACGUUUCGCUGCAUGUACGGAGUGGACAUGAUACAUCAUCUGUCAUUCUCAUAAACUUUAAUGACAAUCUAACUCCGAAGGGACUCUCUGAACUCGGGGCGAGCUCCAGACACGGAGCCUUGCUCAUGGACUAAUACGUCACGAUAUCCUGCAGCCACCAUCAAGACAGCCUAUCUCAUACUCAUAAUUGGAAGGAUGCCAUCACUUACGCAUGGUGAUGCAUCCCACAGGAGGAUGAAGUCGACCAAGGAUGUCCUCUCCGGUUGUCAUCAAGGAACAAUUUGAUGACGGUUUCAUUGUAAUUUUGUCACCG